CUCUAGAGCAGUGUUUCUCAAAUGGGGGUACACGUACCCCUGGGGGUACUUCAGAGUACUGCAGGGGGUAUAUGUGAGAUGUUUUUU